rnacentral:rRNA from 1 species
CUGCGAAUGGCUCAUUAUAUAAGUUAUCGUUUAUUUGAUAGUACCUUACUACUUGGAUAACCGUGGUAAUUCUAGAGCUAAUACAUGCUAAAAAUCCCGACUUCGGAAGGGAUGUAUUUAUUAGAUUAAAAACCAAUGCCCUCUGGGCUCUCUGGUGAUUCAUGAUAACUUCUCGAAUCGCAUGGCCUUGCGCCGGCGAUGGUUCAUUCAAAUUUCUUCCCUAUCAACUUUCGAUGUUUGGGUAGUGGCCAAACAUGGUUGCAACGGGUAACGGAGGGUUAGGGCUCGACCCCGGAGAAGGAGCCUGAGAAACGGCUACUACAUCCAAGGAAGGCAGCAGGCGCGCAAAUUACCCAAUCCCGAUUCGGGGAGGUAGUGACAAUAAAUACUGAUACAGGGCUCUUUUGGGUCUUGUAAUUGGAAUGAGUACAAUUUAAAUCCCUUAACGAGGAACAAUUGGAGGGCAAGUCUGGUGCCAGCAGCCGCGGUAAUUCCAGCUCCAAUAGCGUAUAUUAAAGUUGUUGUGGUUAAAAAGCUCGUAGUUGAACCUUGGGCCUGGCUGGCCGGUCCGCCUCACCGCGUGUACUGGUCCGGCCGGGCCUUUCCCUCUGUGGAACCCCAUGCCCUUCACUGGGUGUGGCGGGGAAACAGGACUUUUACUUUGAAAAAAUUAGAGUGCUCCAGGCAGGCCUAUGCUCGAAUACAUUAGCAUGGAAUAAUGAAAUAGGACGUGCGGUUCUAUUUUGUUGGUUUCUAGGACCGCCGUAAUGAUUAAUAGGGACAGUCGGGGGCAUCAGUAUUCAAUUGUCAGAGGUGAAAUUCUUGGAUUUAUUGAAGACUAACUACUGCGAAAGCAUUUGCCAAGGAUGUUUUCAUUAAUCAGGAACGAAAGUUAGGGGAUCGAAGACGAUCAGAUACCGUCGUAGUCUUAACCAUAAACUAUGCCGACUAGGGAUCGGACGAUGUUAUUUUUUGACUCGUUCGGCACCUUACGAGAAAUCAAAGUG